UUUGUGUUCAUGUAAAUUACUAGUACGUUUGCUGCUAGUCAGUGUCAUGGCGCUGCCCUUGAAGAAGUCAUCGACUGGGAUCGAGAGAGAGAGUGUGUUUAACUGAUUUGUGAAUACCUGAUUCUGGACGAUGUCGUUGCCGCUGGUGACUCGCGUGUGUUGUCGCUACAGCAGCACCAGUGUGCGGCAGAUGAGGAGAAAAGCUAUGCUUGACCGCAUCAUCCGUGUUGACCAUGCCGGAGAACUCGGGGCAGAUCGGAUAUAUGCUGGCCAGUUAGCAGUACUAGGGAAAACUGCUGUUGGUCCUGUUAUCAAGGAAAUGUGGGAACAAGAAAAAGAACACCUGGCAACCUUUGAAAAAUUGAUGAAAGAGCACCGUGGUCGACCGACCGUUUUGUUGCCAAUAUGGAAUGUGGCAGGGUUUGUGUUAGGGGCUAGCACUGCCCUACUUGGCAAGGAAGGGGCAAUGGCUUGUACAGUUGCAGUGGAAGAUGUCAUUGGGGAUCACUAUAACAGUCAAAUUCGAGAACUGAUGAGUGACGAUCCUGAGGCGAACAAAGAGUUACUAAAGACGAUUACCAAAUUUCGAGAUGAGGAGCUUCAUCACCAUGAUACAGGCUUAGAACAUGAUGCUGAGAAGGCACCAUUCUACACAGCCUUGACACAAGUGAUCAAGGUGGGUUGUAGAGGCGCCAUCUGGAUAUCAGAGAGGAUAUGAACCUGUGUCCAAUGUGUCAAUUAUAUUGUGUCUAGCCCGCAUGGGAGGAUCAUGUGUUAUGAGAGUGAAGGAACAGAGGAACUGUACAACAUCUCUUGAGAUUGAGGUGUGGUUGUCAGACCUUACUAAUGAAAGAAAAUGAGGAAAAAAUAAUAUAUGUAUGCAUCUGAUAGAGCAUGUCCAGCUGAUUCAUUGUUGAGCGUUGCAGACAAUAAAUGCUGUCUUUACA